rnacentral:rRNA from 1 species
GACGAACGCUGGCGGCGUGCCUAAUACAUGCAAGUCGAGCGAGUGGCGGACGGGUGAGUAAUGUCUGGGAAACUGCCCGAUGGAGGGGGAUAACUACUGGAAACGGUAGCUAAUACCGCAUACCAUCGGAUGUGCCCAGAUGGGAUUAGCUAGUAGGUGGGGUAACGGCUCACCUAGGCCACGAUCCAUAGAUGGUCUGAGGGGAUGACCAGCCACACUGGAACUGAGACACGGUCCAGACUCCGACGGGAGGCAGCAGUGGGGAAUACUGCACAAUGGGCGCAAGCCGGAUACAGCCAUGCCGCGUGUAUGAAGAAGGCCUUCGGGUUGUAAAGUACUUUCAGCGAGGAGGCGUUACUCGCAGAAGAAGCACCGGCUAACUCCGUGCCAGCAGCCGCGGUAAUUC